rnacentral:lncRNA from 1 species
UUUUUUUUUUUUUUUUUGGCUGUGCCCACAUGCAGAAGUUCCUGGGUCAGGGACUGAACCCUCGCCAAAACUGUAAGCAGACCCAUAGCAGUGACAACACCAGGUCCUUUACCUGCUGAGCCACGAGGGAACUCCCAAAGAAAACCUUUUGGGGGGUUGCCCUUGCAGCAUAUGAAAUUUCCCAGGCCAGGGAUCAAAUCCAAGCCACAGCUGUGGCAACACCAGAUCCUUAACCCACCACACCACAGCAGGAACUCCCCACAGAAAAUAUUUUUUAAAUUGUGUCUGUCCAUGCUGGAUUUGGGCUUCCUGGCUCUUAAUCUUUUCGUUGGCACAAUCUGUGGUUGAGAUUGGUCCCUGGAAACCAAUUUUUUUUAACCUUGUUAUUUUAUAUAUGAGGCAUCUGAUGCCUCAAGAGGUCAAGUUACUUCUUUGGGAAAUCAUGCUAGUCGGUUUUCACAAUAUUAUACAACGUUAUAAAUCUAUAAAUUGGAUUUUGUGCAAAGGCACAAAGUCCUGCCGUGAACUUGAGCUUCUCUGUCUCUAAUGACCAGAACAUUUAAAUUAUCAGAAAACAACGCUCCCUCCCUAUGGUGGCUUGUAGAGGAUUUAUAGCCUGUGGAUCCAUCAAAUCUUAGACACCAAUUGAUUAUAAGACCCACAUAUUGAUUGUCUUGUUACUGCUAAGAAAAGAACACACUGCAAACACAGGGUUUUCUUACUACCCAGAAGUUUCAGAUUUUACUUACGAUGUGAGUUCUUUUAGAGAUACUUAUGCGUUUUUAAAACGUCUUUGUCUUUGUUUAUACCUUAAAAGGAAAAUACAAGCAAGGUAAUUUGGUUAUGGAACUUCCAAAAAUUUUUCCCAUUCAGGAAAUCUGCUUUUAUGUUACUUUGAAACUCGUUCGCUGAUGGGCAGCCUUAUCCAUGGCACUGCCAUCUGUGCCAUCAAAAGUAUUGAUGGGAGUUCCCAUUGUGGCUCAGCGGUGACAAACCUGACAAUAUCCAUGAGGAUGCAGGUUCCGUCCCUGGUCUCGCUCAGUGGCUUAAGGAUCCAGCCGUGGCCGUGAGCUGUGGUGUAGGUUGGAGAUGCGGCUCAGAUCUGGCGUGGCUGUGGCUGUGGUGUAGGCCAGCAGCUGCAGCUCCAGUUUGACCCCUAGCCUGGGAACCUCCAUAUCCCACAGGUGCAGCCCUAAAAAGACCCCCCCCAAAGUAUUGAUGCAACAGCUUUUCUCUAAACAAAAGAAAAGGAGACCUCUGUUAUUGUCUCAUAUGGUCUUUCGAACCACGGCUCACCUUUCUGUGAGGUUGUGUUUGCUUGCUUUUUUG